AGUUAUGGCAGCUGUGCGUGGGACGCCCUCGGGCGUGCCGGUUUCCUAGUUCCCGGUUUCCAACCUGCGUACAGCUGUCACCCAU
rnacentral:antisense_RNA from 2 species